AUUGGCAGGAGGAAAAACAAUGGCGGCAUAAAAGACAGUCGGACCCCAGACAGGUGCCUGGCUUGGCCCGGGGGGCUGAGUGCACCUGACGUGUGGGGAGGAGUUCCAACCAGGCUCUGGAGAGGGCUGGCAAGGCGCGCGGCAGGGCGGAAGGCUCUGGAAGUUGAUCUGCCUUCUUGGACCCUAAGUGAGUGUGCCGGCCUCAGCUGGGAGGAAUGUGUGCUAGUUCGCUCAAAGUACGCCUAUCACAAGACGUCAUACACGAUUGUCUCUUGUCGGAUAAAAAACUGGACCCCAAGUCUUCACCUGGGCGAGUCUGCUGAUGGAAUGCAGAUGAGACCGGCUCUGGGGAGGCAGUCCCAGGCCUCAGCCGCGGGAUGCGGGAGAAGUGCCUGCGCUCACCGCGGUGGGGCUCCCCAGCGUCUAACAAUGCAACUGGGCUCAUCUCCUACCUUCAGCAAAGGGGCGCCAAGCCUUUCCGAGUUACCGCCCGGCAGCCUUGGCGGAGUUACCCGGUGGACUUUUCAUUUUAAGGUACAAAUCAUUGUAUAGUUCCCUCAGUCUCUACCUCUCCUCCUCUGAGCGCCUCUGGAGACGGGCGCCCACCUCCAGGACGCCCAGGGUUACCAGAUGUGACCAGAGCCCAGGGCUCCUGUGAGGCUCUGGGCUCUGCAGUGAGCGCGGGCGUCGACUAAGGAGGUGCAGCCGGGGCGGAGCCUGGGCCUGGAGCCGGCCUUUCCCGCUGCCUGACUCGGUCACAGAGGCGUGCCGGGCCAGCUGGGCCGCCAGGAACAUGCAACGAGAACACACGGCGCCUGCGGUCUCUGGCCGCGCGCUAUGCUCGCCGUCUAUAAUAUGACCGAGAGCAACUGUUACCCACUGUAGGUGCGGUGGACUGUAAGGACAGCAUACCAGCUGGGGUGCCUGCUCCCGACAGGACAGUGGUGGGAGCCCUUUCUGAACUGCUACGGAGCUUCCAGGAGGAGCUUGGGGAUGACCUCCACGGUUAGCAUGGCACGAAUCCCUGGUGCCGGUGGGAGGGUCAGCAGAGGGUUGUGGGGGCCCAGACAGACCUGGGCUCUCUUCUAGGUGCACACGUUCCGUGGCCGUGCCUGUGGUCAGAUCGCCUUCCCUGACGCUCCCUUUCUGCCUCCGUGUAGUGGAAACAUAGCACCCAGCUCGCAGAGUGGUUGGGAGCUUUAGAAGUGAGACACACGUGGCUUAGGGCCCGGCCUGGCCCGGCACCUACCAGGGGGCACCAAGGUGCUGUCAGGGCUGUGCUUGGUGGCUUUGCAUCUCUGUUCCCCAGGGCACCCGUGGACACCUGGUGCCUCUCCCACCUCUGCCCAGUUCGGCAACCUGCAGUGGGCCAGUGCUGCAGAGGCCCAGAGACGUCAGACCACGUCUGCCCCUGGUGAGCGCCCUCUCGGGGCCCUGGCUUCCCGUGGGGGCCAGCGGGAUCCAGAGGUGAGAAGGGGGCUGUUUGGAGGGCAGGCCUGGCAAACCGGGUCCUCAAAAUGUGCCUCCGGAUUCUGGCUAGGGCUCGUGUGUC
rnacentral:lncRNA from 1 species